rnacentral:rRNA from 1 species
UACGUAGGGGGCGAGCGUUGUCCGGAUUUAUUGGGCGUAAAGAGCUCGUAGGCGGUUUGGCAAGUCGGGUGUGAAAACUCCGGCUCAACUCGGAGACGCCACUCGAUACUGCCAUGACUCGAGUCCGGUAGGGAGUGGCGGAAUUCCGUGGUGUAGCGGUGAAAUGCGCAGAUAUCAGGAGGAACACCGGUGGCGAAGGCGGCACUCUGGGCCGGUACUGACGCUGAGGAGCGAAAGCGUGGGGAGCGAACAGG